rnacentral:rRNA from 1 species
UUCAGAACGAACGCUGGCGGCAGGCUUAACACAUGCAAGUCGAGCGCACUCUUUUAGAGUGAGCGGCAAACGGGUGAGUAACGCGUGGGAAUCUACCCAUUUAUACGGAAUAACACAGAGAAAUUUGUGCUAAUACCGUAUACGUCCCUUUGGGAGAAAGAUUUAUCGGAGAUGGAUGAGCCCGCGUUGGAUUAGCUAGUUGGUGAGGUAACGGCUCACCAAGGCGACGAUCCAUAGCUGGUCUGAGAGGAUGAUCAGCCACACUGGGACUGAGACACGGCCCAGACUCCUACGGGAGGCAGCAGUGGGGAAUAUUGGACAAUGGGGGCAACCCUGAUCCAGCCAUGCCGCGUGAGUGAUGAAGGCCUAGGGUUGUAAAGCUCUUUCACCGGUGAAGAUAAUGACGAU